UUUGGUUAAGUUAGAAAGGGCGCACGGUGGAUGCCUUGACACUAGGAGUCGAUGAAGGACGGGACUAACGCCGAUAUGCUUCGGGGAGCUGUAAGUAAGCUUUGAUCCGAAGAUUUCCGAAUGGGGAAACCCACUAUACGUAAUGGUAUGGUAUCCUUACCUGAAUACAUAGGGUAUGGAAGACAGACCCAGGGAACUGAAACAUCUAAGUACCUGGAGGAAGAGAAAGCAAAUGCGAUUUCCUGAGUAGCGGCGAGCGAAACGGAACAUAGCCCAAACCAAGAGGCUUGCCUCUUGGGGUUGUAGGACAUUCUAUACGGAGUUACAAAGGAACGAGGUAGACGAAGCGACCUGGAAAGGUCCGUCGUAGAGGGUAACAACCCCGUAGUCGAAACUUCGUUCUCUCUUGAAUGUAUCCUGAGUACGGCGGAACACGUGAAAUUCCGUCGGAAUCUGGGAGGACCAUCUCCCAAGGCUAAAUACUCCCUAGUGAUCGAUAGUGAACCAGUACCGUGAGGGAAAGGUGAAAAGCACCCCGGAAGGGGAGUGAAAGAGAUCCUGAAACCGUGUGCCUACAAAUAGUCAGAGCCCGUUAAUGGGUGAUGGCGUGCCUUUUGUAGAAUGAACCGGCGAGUUACGAUCCCGUGCAAGGUUAAGCUGAAGAGGCGGAGCCGCAGCGAAAGCGAGUCUGAAUAGGGCGUUUAGUACGUGGUCGUAGACCCGAAACCAGGUGAUCUACCCAUGUCCAGGGUGAAGUUCAGGUAACACUGAAUGGAGGCCCGAACCCACGCACGUUGAAAAGUGCGGGGAUGAGGUGUGGGUAGCGGAGAAAUUCCAAUCGAACCUGGAGAUAGCUGGUUCUCCCCGAAAUAGCUUUAGGGCUAGCCUUAAGUGUAAGAGUCUUGGAGGUAGAGCACUGAUUGAACUAGGGGUCCUCAUCGGAUUACCGAAUUCAGUCAAACUCCGAAUGCCAAUGACUUAUCCUUAGGAGUCAGACUGCGAGUGAUAAGAUCCGUAGUCAAGAGGGAAACAGCCCAGAUCGCCAGCUAAGGUCCCAAAGUGUGUAUUAAGUGGAAAAGGAUGUGGAGUUGCUUAGACAACUAGGAUGUUGGCUUAGAAGCAGCCACCAUUUAAAGAGUGCGUAAUAGCUCACUAGUCGAGUGACUCUGCGCCGAAAAUGUACCGGGGCUAAAUACACCACCGAAGCUGCGAAUUGAUACCAAUGGUAUCAGUGGUAGGGGAGCGUUCUAAGUGCAGUGAAGUCAGACCGGAAGGACUGGUGGAGCGCUUAGAAGUGAGAAUGCCGGUAUGAGUAGCGAAAGACGGGUGAGAAUCCCGUCCACCGAAUGCCUAAGGUUUCCUGAGGAAGGCUCGUCCGCUCAGGGUUAGUCAGGACCUAAGCCGAGGCCGACAGGCGUAGGCGAUGGACAACAGGUUGAUAUUCCUGUACCACCUCUUUAUCGUUUGAGCAAUGGAGGGACGCAGAAGGAUAGAAGAAGCGUGCGAUUGGUUGUGCACGUCCAAGCAGUUAGGCUGAUAAGUAGGCAAAUCCGCUUAUCGUAAAGGCUGAGCUGUGAUGGGGAAGCUCCUUAUGGAGCGAAGUCUUUGAUUCCCCGCUGCCAAGAAAAGCUUCUAGCGAGAUAAAAGGUGCCUGUACCGCAAACCGACACAGGUAGGCGAGGAGAGAAUCCUAAGGUGUGCGAGAGAACUCUGGUUAAGGAACUCGGCAAAAUGACCCCGUAACUUCGGGAGAAGGGGUGCUUUCUUAACGGAAAGCCGCAGUGAAUAGGCCCAAGCGACUGUUUAGCAAAAACACAGCUCUCUGCGAAGCCGUAAGGCGAAGUAUAGGGGGUGACACCUGCCCGGUGCUGGAAGGUUAAGGAGAGGGGUUAGCGUAAGCGAAGCUCUGAACUGAAGCCCCAGUAAACGGCGGCCGUAACUAUAACGGUCCUAAGGUAGCGAAAUUCCUUGUCGGGUAAGUUCCGACCCGCACGAAAGGUGUAACGAUUUGGGCACUGUCUCAACCAGAGACUCGGUGAAAUUAUAGUACCUGUGAAGAUGCAGGUUACCCGCGACAGGACGGAAAGACCCCGUGGAGCUUUACUGUAGCCUGAUAUUGAAUUUUGGUACAGUUUGUACAGGAUAGGCGGGAGCC
rnacentral:rRNA from 1 species